CAGCACAUAUACUAAAAUUAGAAUGAUACCGAGAAGACUAGCAUGGCCCCUGUGCAAGGAUGGCAUGCAGUUUGUGAAGUGUUCCAUAUUUUA
rnacentral:snRNA from 1 species